rfam:Nematostella vectensis strain CH2 x CH6 NEMVEscaffold_39_Cont6475, whole genome shotgun sequence.
GGCUCAAUGGUCAAGUGGUAUGAUUCUCGCUUUGGGUGCUAGGGGCCACGGGUUCGAUUCCCGUCUGAGCCC